rnacentral:lncRNA from 1 species
AGCAGAAGUGCACCAUUCACUCUCAACUAAGAGAUUUUAUGUAGGCAAACAUUUCUGAAACUAUAGAUCAGUUAUUUAGGAUAGUCAGAGAUUUAGAAAGGACUGAUUAGGACUAUGGGUGUGUCUAUUUUCUGCCUAAUUAUUGCUGUGAGGUUUGAUUUGACCAAUCUGGGCAUUUUAUUCAUCAGCUUCCCUUGAAAUGCACCAGGAAAUAGGAAAAGAAAGAAUAGCUGUGUGGAGACUUAACAGUAUUUUCUUAUGUGUUAGGUAGUGUGUGUUAGUGAUUAAAGCUCUAGAAAGAAGUUAACAGCUG